rnacentral:rRNA from 1 species
CUACGGGUCGCAGCAGUGGGGAAUAUUGCGCAAUGGGCGAAAGCCUGACGCAGCGACGCCGCGUGAGGGAUGAAGGUUCUCGGAUCGUAAACCUUUGUCAGGGGGGAAGAAACCCCCUCGUGUGAAUAAUGCGAGGGCUUGACGGUACCCCCAAAGGAAGCACCGGCUAACUCCGUGCCAGCAGCCGCGGUAAUACGGAGGGUGCAAGCGUUAAUCGGAAUCACUGGGCGUAAAGCGCACGUAGGCGGCUUGGUAAGUCAGGGGUGAAAUCCCACAGCCCAACUGUGGAACUGCCUUGAUACUGCCAGGCUUGAGUACCGGAGAGGGUGGCGGAAUUCCAGGUGUAGGAGUGAAAUCCGUAGAUAUCUGGAGGAACACCGGUGGCGAAGGCGGCCACCUGGACGGUAACUGACGCUGAGGUGCGAAAGCGUGGGUAGCAAACAGGAUUAGAUACCCGAGUAGUC